AGUGAACGCUGGCGGUAUGCCUAACACAUGCAAGUCGAACGGCAGCACAGUAAUAGCUUUCGCGUCGGGGGGCCGACGGGCGAGCGGGAUAUCGGUACAUCGGCAUCUACUGGUUCGUAGGGGGUAACGGUGAGGCUCAUACGCCAUUCCCGCAUACGAUGUACGGGUGGAAGCAGAAGACCUUCGGCCCUUGCGCGAUUCGAUGUCGGAUUAGCUAGUUGGGGAGGUAAAGGCCCACCAAGGCGACGAUCCGUAGCUGGUCUGAGAGGAUGAGCAGCCACACUGGAACUGAGACACGGUCCAGACUCCUACGGGAGGCAGCAGUGGGGAAUUUUGGACAAUGGGCGCAAGCCUGAUCCAGCCAUACCGCGUGAGUGAAGAAGGCCUUCGGGUUGUAAAGCUCUUUUGUCAGGGAAGAAAAGGUACAGGUUAAUAUCCCGCGGUACUGACGGUACCCAAAGAAUAAGCACCGGCUAACUACGUG
rnacentral:rRNA from 1 species